UUCUCAGUACAGGUGAAUGCAUAUUAUUCAAUAGACUAGGUCUUAUUCUCAGUACAGGGGAAUGCAUAUUAUUCAAUAGACUAGGUCUUAUUCUCAGUACAGGUGAAUGCAUAUUAUUCAAUAGACUAGGUCUUAUUCACAGUACAGGUGAAUGCAUAUUAUUCAAUAGACUAGGUCUUAUUCUCAGUACAGGUGAAUGCAUAUUAUUCAAUAGACUAGGUCUUAUUCUCAGUACAGGUGAAUGCAUAUUAUUCAAUAGACUAGGUCUUAUUCUCAGUACAGGUGAAUGCAUAUUAUUCAAUAGACUAGGUCUUAUUCUCAGUACAGGUGAAUGCAUAUUAUUCAAUAGACUAGGUCUUAUUCUCAGUACAGGUGAAUGCAUAUUAUUCAAUAGACUAGGUCUUAUUCUCAGUACAGGUGAAUGCAUAUUAUUCAAUAGACUAGGUCUUAUUCUCAGUACAGGUGAAUGCAUAUUAUUCAAUAGACUAGGUCUUAUUCUCAGUACAGGUGAAUGCAUAUUAUUCAAUAGACUAGGUCUUAUUCUCAGUACAGGUGAAUGCAUAUUAUUCAAUAGACUAGGUCUUAUUCUCAGUACAGGUGAAUGCAUAUUAUUCAAUAGACUAGGUCUUAUUCUCAGUACAGGGGAAUGCAUAUUAUUCAAUAGACUAGGUCUUAUUCUCAGUACAGGUGAAUGCAUAUUAUUCAAUAGACUAGGUCUUAUUCUCAGUACAGGGGAAUGCAUAUUAUUCAAUAGACUAGGUCUUAUUCUCAGUACAGGGGAAUGCAUAUUAUUCAAUAGACUAGGUCUUAUUCUCAGUACAG